AUGCUUUACACAUGCAAGUCGAGCGGCAGCGCGGGGGCAACCCUGGCGGCGAGCGGCGAACGGGUGAGUAAUACAUCGGAACGUGUCCCGUAGUGGGGGAUAGCCCGGCGAAAGCCGGAUUAAUACCGCAUAUGCUCUACGGAGGAAAGCGGGGGACCGCAAGGCCUCGCGCUAUGGGAGCGGCCGAUGUCCGAUUAGCUUGUUGGUGAGGUAACGGCUCACCAAGGCGACGAUCGGUAGCUGGUCUGAGAGGAUGAUCAGCCACACUGGGACUGAGACACGGCCCAG
rnacentral:rRNA from 1 species